AUUUAUAUAGUUUAAAUAAAACAUUACAUUUUCACUGUAAAAAUAAAAAUUAUAUUUUUUAUGAAUA
rnacentral:tRNA from 1 species